rnacentral:rRNA from 1 species
CCUACGGGAGGCAGCAGUAGGGAAUCUUCCACAAUGGGCGAAAGCCUGAUGGAGCAACGCCGCGUGGGUGAAGAAGGUCUUCGGAUCGUAAAACCCUGUUGUUAGAGAAGAAAGUGCGUGAGAGUAACUGUUCACGUUUCGACGGUAUCUAACCAGAAAGCCACGGCUAACUACGUGCCAGCAGCCGCGGGAAUACGUAGGUGGCAAGCGUUAUCCGGAUUUAUUUGGCGUAAAGGGAACGCAGGCGGUCUUUUAAGUCUGAUGUGAAAGCCUUCGGCUUAACCGGAGUAGUGCAUUGGAAACUGGGAGACUUGAGUGCAGAAGAGGAGAGUGGAACUCCAUGUGUAGCGGUGAAAUGCGUAGAUAUAUGGAAGAACACCAGUCGCGAAAGCGGCUCUCUGGUCUGUAACUGACGCUGAGGUUCGAAAGCGUGGGUAGCAAACAGGAUUAGAUACCCCGGUAGUC